rnacentral:tRNA from 1 species
GCUCUUUUAGCUCAAUUGGUAGAGCAACGGACUCUUAAUCCGUAGGUUCUGGGUUCGAGUCCCAGAGGGAGCA